GCCCCCUUAGUUUAGUGGUAGAACAAUAGUAUCGUAAACUGUGAACGGAAGUUCGAUUCUUCCAGGGGGCU
rnacentral:tRNA from 1 species